CCCGUGAUAGCUCAGAUGGUAGAGCGGAGGACUGUAGUAUGCAUUACUGAUAUCCUUAGGUCGGUGGUCCAAAUCCGCCUCGCGGGA
rnacentral:tRNA from 1 species